rnacentral:rRNA from 1 species
CCUACGGGGGGCAGCAGUGGGGAAUAUUGCACAAUGGGGGAAACCCUAAUCCAGAACGGCCGGGUGAGCGAUAAAGCCCUCCGGGCGGUAAACCCCUUCCCUAGGGGAGAAAUACUAACGUUACCUUGGGAGGAGCCCCCGGCUAACACCGUGCCGGCAGCGGCGGUAAUACGAAGGGGGCUAGCGUUAUCCGGAAUUACUGGGCGUAAAGGGUGCGUAGGCGGCCCUUCAAGUCAGAGGUGAAAGGCUACGGCUCAACCGUAGUAAGCCUUUGAAACUGUAGGGCUUGAGUGCAGGAGAGGAGAGUGGAAUUCCCAGUGUAGCGGUGAAAUGCGUAGAUAUUGGGAGGAACACCAGUUGCGAAGGCGGCUCUCUGGACUGUAACUGACGCUGAGGCACGAAAGCGUGGGGAGCGAACAGGAUUAGAUACCCGAGUAGUC